rnacentral:rRNA from 1 species
GGCCUACCANGGNGGUAACGGGUAACGGGGUGUUAGGGCACGACACCGGAGAGGGAGCCUGAGAAACGGCUACCACAUCCAAGGAUGGCAGCAGGCGCGCAAAUUACCCAAUCCCGACACGGGGAGGUAGUUACAAUAAAUAACAAUACGGGGUUCUUUCGGAUUUCGUAAUUGGAAUGAGUACAAUUUAAAUCUCUUAACGAGGAACAAUUGGAGGGCAAGUCUGGUGCCAGCAGCCGCGGUAAUUCCAGCUCCAAUAGCGUAUAUUAAAGUUGCUGCAGUUAAAAAGCUCGUAGUUGAAUUUCGGGACCAAUAUGUCGGUCGUGCCUCGGUACGUACUGGCAUCGUUGGUUUCUCCCUUCUGACGAACCAUGAUGUCAUCUAUUUGGUGUCGUGGGGAAUCAGGACUGUUACUUUGAAAAAAUUAGAGUGUUUAAAGCAGGCUCACGCUUGAAUACAUUAGCAUGGAAUAAUGAAAUAGGACGUUUGAUUCUAUUUUGUUGGUUUCUAGGAUCGACGUAAUGAUUAAUAGGGAUAGUUGGGGGCAUUAGUAUUCAAUUGUCAGAGGUGAAAUUCUUGGAUUUAUUGAAGACUAACUACUGCGAAAGCAUUUGCCAAGGAUGUUUUCAUUAAUCAAGAACGAAAGUUAGGGGAUCGAAGACGAUCAGAUACCGUCGUAGUCUUAACCAUAAACUAUGCCGACUAGGGAUCGGAUGAUGUUAAUUUUUUAAUGACUCAUUCGGCGCCUUACGGGAAACCAAAGUGUUUGGGUUC